UUUCCCACUGGACUACCACAUUUUCUCCUAAUAAUUUUGGUGGCUAUGCUAAUGGGACAGAUUAAAAUUGCCGGGAUCUGAAGAGAAUGGAUGUAUGUGUGGUCUCCUCCCACGUGAAAGGCCGAACGGAAAUAU